ACGGUACCCCAGGAAUAAGUCUCGGCUAACUACGUGCCAGCAGCCGCGGUAAAACGUAGGAGGCGAGCGUUAUCCGGGAUUUACUGGGCAUAAAGCGCGUGCAGGCGGUUCCUUAAGUCGGACGUGAAAGCUCUCGGCUCAACUGGGAGAGGUCGUUCGAAACUAGGGAACUUGAGGGUGGUAGAGGAGAGUGGAAUUCCCGGUGUAGUGGUGAAAUGCGUAGAUAUCGGGGGGAACACCAGUGGCGAAGGCGGCUCUCUGGGCCAUUCCUGACGCUAAGACGCGAAAGCUAGGGGAGAGAACGGGAUUAGAAACCCCGGUAUUCCUAGCCGUAAACGAUGUCAACUAGGUGUAGGGGGUAUCCAACCCCCCUGUGCUGUAGCUAACGCAUUAAGUGUUCCGCCUGGGGAGUACGGCCGCAAGGCUAAAACUCAAAGGAAUUGACGGGGCCCCGCACAAGCGGCGGAGCAUGCGGCUUAAUUCGAUGCAACCCGAAGAACCUUACCUGGGUUUGACAUCAUGGGUCUAGCUGUGGAAACACAGUGUGCUUACGCGCCCAUGACAGGUGGUGCAUGGCUGUCGUCAGCUCGUGUCGUGAGAUGUUGGGUUAAGUCCCGCAACGAGCGCAACCCUUGUCCUAUGUUGCCAGCGGUUCGGCCGGGGACUCAUAGGAGACUGCCGGGGACAGCUCGGAGGAAGGCGAGGACGACGUCAAGUCAUCAUGCCCCUUAUAUCCAGGGCUGCACGCAUGCUACAAUGGGCGGUACAACGGGCUGCGAUCCCGCGAGGGUCAGCCAAUCCCAAAAAGCCGUCCUCAGUUCGGAUUGAAGUCUGCAACUCGACUUCAUGAAGCUGGAGUCGCUAGUAAUCGUGGAUCAGCAAAGCCGCGGUGAAUACGUUCUCGGGGCUUGUACACACCGCCCGUCACGUCAUGGGAGUUGGUAACACCUGAAGUCGGUGACCUAACC
rnacentral:rRNA from 1 species